UACGUAGGGGGCAAGCGUUGUCCGGAAUCAUUGGGCGUAAAGCGCGCGUAGGCGGCCCGGUACGUCCGUUGUGAAAGUUAAAGGCUCAACCUUUGAACGCCGAUGGAUACUGCCGGGCUAGAGUCCGGAAGAGGCGAGUGGAAUUCCUGGUGUAGCGGUGGAAUGCGCAGAUAUCAGGAGGAACACCAAUAGCGAAGGCAGCUCGCUGGGACGGUACUGACGCUGAGGCGCGAAAGCGUGGGGAGCGAACAGG
rnacentral:rRNA from 1 species